CCCUUAGAUGUCCUGGGCCGCACGCGUGCUACACUGAUGCAUACAGCGAGUACUUUCCAGCUCCGCGAGGCAGCUGGUAAUCAGCAAUAUGCAUCGUGCUGGGGAUAGAUCUUUGGAAUUAUAGAUCUUGAACGAGGAAUUCCUAGUAAGCGCAAGUCAUUAGCUUGCGCUGAUUAAGUCCCUGCCCUUUGUACACACCGCCCGUCGCUCCUACCGAUUUCGAGUGAUUCGGUGAACCUUUUGGACAGCGUCUGUCCUCGUGUCAGAUGCAGAAAGUCAAGUAAACCAUAUCACUUAGAGGAAGGAGAAGUCGUAACA
rnacentral:rRNA from 1 species